rnacentral:rRNA from 1 species
GACGAACGCUGGCGGCGUGCUUAACACAUGCAAGUCGAACGAUGAAGAAGAGAAACGCGAACUUCGGUUCAAAUUUCACUUCGGAUUAGUGGCAGACGGGUGAGUAACGCGUGAGCAACCUACCUCUUACAAAGGGAUAGCCUCGGGAAACCGUGAUUAAUACCAUAUGACACAUUCAUAAGGCAUCUUAAGAAUGUUAAAGCUACGGCGGUAAGAGAUGGGCUCGCGUCCCAUUAGCUAGUUGGUGAGGUAACGGCCCACCAAGGCGACGAUGGGUAACCGGCCUGAGAGGGUGAACGGUCACAAUGGAACUGAGACACGGUCCAAACUCCUACGGGAGGCAGCAGUGGGGAAUAUUGCACAAUGGAGGGAACUCUGAUGCAGCGACGCCGCGUGAGCGAUGAAGGAAUUCGUUUCGUAAAGCUCUGUUCUAUGGGAAGAAAAGGACUGUACCAUAGGAGAAAGCCCCGGCUAAAUACGUG